UAGAGUUUGAUCCUGGCUCAGGAUGAACGCUAGCGACAGGCUUAACACAUGCAAGUCGAGGGGCAGCACAGGGUAGCAAUACUUGGGUGGCGACCGGCGCACGGGUGAGUAACGCGUAUGCAACUUACCUAUCAGAGGGGGAUAGCCCGGCGAAAGUCGGAUUAAUACCCCAUGAAACAGGGGUCCCGCAUGGGAAUAUUUGUUAAAGAUUCAUCGCUGAUAGAUAGGCAUGCGUUCCAUUAGGCAGUUGGCGGGGUAACGGCCCACCAAACCGACGAUGGAUAGGGGUUCUGAGAGGAAGGUCCCCCACAUUGGUACUGAGACACGGACCAAACUCCUACGGGAGGCAGCAGUGAGGAAUAUUGGUCAAUGGACGCGAGUCUGAACCAGCCAUGCCGCGUGCAGGAAGACGGCCCUAUGAGUUGUAAACUGCUUUUGUACGAGGGUAAACGCUCUUACGUGUAAGAGCCUGAAAGUAUCGUACGAAUAAGGAUCGGCUAACUCCGUGCCAGCAGCCGCGGUAAUACGGAGGAUCCAAGCGUUAUCCGGGUUUAUUGGGUUUAAAGGGUGCGUAGGCGGUUUGAUAAGUUAGAGGUGAAAUACCGGUGCUUAACACCGGAACUGCCUCUAAUACUGUUGAACUAGAGAGUAGUUGCGGUAGGCGGAAUGUAUGGUGUAGCGGUGAAAUGCUUAGAGAUCAUACAGAACACCGAUUGCGAAGGCAGCUUACCAAACUAUAUCUGACGUUGAGGCACGAAAGCGUGGGGAGCAAACAGGAUUAGAUACCCUGGUAGUCCACGCAGUAAACGAUGAUAACUCGCUGUCGGCGAUACACGGUCGGCGGCUAAGCGAAAGCGAUAAGUUAUCCACCUGGGGAGUACGUUCGCAAGAAUG
rnacentral:rRNA from 1 species